rnacentral:rRNA from 1 species
GACAGAGGAUGCAAGCGUUGUCCGGAUUUAUUGGGCGUAAAGGGCUCGUAGGCGGCGUGUCGCGUCGGGAGUGAAAGCCCGGGGCUUAACCCCGGGUCUGCAUUCGAUACGGGCUAGCUAGAGUGCGGUAGGGGAGAUUGGAAUUCCUGGUGUAGCGGUGGAAUGCGCAGAUAUCAGGAGGAACACCAAUGGCGAAGGCAGAUCUCUGGGCCGUAACUGACGCUGAGGAGCGAAAGCAUGGGGAGCGAACAGG